UACAGAGGUCCCGAGCGUUGUUCGGAUUUAUUGGGCGUAAAGGGUGCGUAGGCGGCAGAGUAAGUUGGAUGUGAAAUCCUGGGGCUCAACCUCAGAAUUGCAUUCAAUACUGCUUUGCUAGGGCGCUGUAGAGGAGAUUGGAAUUUACGGUGUAGCAGUGAAAUGCGUAGAUAUCGUAAGGAAGACCAGUGGCGAAAGCGAAUCUCUGGGCAGCAGCCGACGCUGAGGCACGAAGGCCAGGGGAGCAAACGGG
rnacentral:rRNA from 1 species